rnacentral:rRNA from 1 species
GAUGAACGCUAGCGGCAGGCCUAACACAUGCAAGUCGAGGGGCAGCACGUCUUCGGAUGGUGGCGACCGGCGCACGGGUGCGUAACGCGUAUGCAACCUACCUCUUACAGUGGGAUAGCCCAGAGAAAUUUGGAUUAAUACCGCAUAGUAUACAGAUUCAGCAUUGGGACUGUAUUAAACAUUUAUGGGUAAGAGAUGGGCAUGCGUUCUAUUAGUUAGUUGGAGUGGUAACGGCACCCCAAGACAGCGAUAGAUAGGGGCCCUGAGAGGGGGAUCCCCCACACUGGUACUGAGACACGGACCAGACUCCUACGGGAGGCAGCAGUGGGGAAUUUUGGACAAUGGGCGCAAGCCUGAUCCAGCCAUGCCGCGUGAGUGAAGAAGGCCU